UAGCUAGUUGGUGAGGUAAAGGCUUACCAAGGCGACGAUCUGUAGCGGGUCUGAGAGGAUGAUCCGCCACACUGGAACUGAGACACGGUCCAGACUCCUACGGGAGGCAGCAGUGGGGAAUUUUGGACAAUGGGGGCAACCCUGAUCCAGCCAUGCCGCGUGAGUGAAGAAGGCCUUCGGGUUGUAAAGCUCUUUCGGCCGGGAAGAAAUCGCAUGGGCCAAUACCCUGUGUGGAUGACGGUACCGGAAUAAGAAGCACCGGCUAACUACGUGCCAGCAGCCGCGGUAAUACGUAGGGUGCGAGCGUUAAUCGGAAUUACUGGGCGUAAAGCGUGCGCAGGCGGUUUUGUAAGACAGGCGUGAAAUCCCCGGGCUUAACCUGGGAACUGCGUUUGUGACUGCAAGGCUAGAGUACGGCAGAGGGGGGUGGAAUUCCACGUGUAGCAGUGAAAUGCGUAGAGAUGUGGAGGAACACCAAUGGCGAAGGCAGCCCCCUGGGUCGAUACUGACGCUCAUGCACGAAAGCGUGGGUAGCAAACAGGAUUAGAUACCCUGGUAGUCCACGCCCUAAACUAUGUCAACUAGGUGUUGGGUGGGUAAAACCAUUUAGUACCGUAGCUAACGCGUGAAGUUGACCGCCUGGGGAGUACGGCCGCAAGGUUAAAACUCAAAGGAAUUGACGGGGACCCGCACAAGCGGUGGAUGAUGUGGAUUAAUUCGAUGCAACGCGAAAAACCUUACCUACCCUUGACAUGCCAGGAACUUGCCAGAGAUGGCUUGGUGCCCGAAAGGGAGCCUGGACACAGGUGCUGCAUGGCUGUCGUCAGCUCGUGUCGUGAGAUGUUGGGUUAAGUCUCGCAACGAGCGCAACCCUUGUCGUUAAUUGCCAUCAUUUAGUUGGGCACUUUAACGAGACUGCCGGUGACAAACCGGAGGAAGGUGGGGAUGACGUCAAGUCCUCAUGGCCCUUAUGGGUAGGGCUUCACACGUCAUACAAUGGUCGGUGCAAAGGGUUGCCAAGCCGCGAGGCGGAGCCAAUCCCAGAAAGCCGAUCGUAGUCCGGAUUGCAGGCUGCAACUCGCCUGCACGAAGUCGGAAUCGCUAGUAAUCGUGGAUCAGCAUGUCACGGUGAAUACGUUCCCGGGUCUUGUACACACCGCCCGUCACACCAUGGGAGCGGGUUCCGCCAGAAGUAGGUAGCCUAACCGCAAGGGGGGCGCUUACCACGGCGGGGUUCGUGACUGGGGUGAAGUCGUAACAAGGUAGCCGUAGGGGAACCUGCGGCUG
rnacentral:rRNA from 1 species